CCCUAGCCCUGAUAGCAGUGGAAAUCCUUUUUUAUUGCUUUUUCUGCAAUAAAAAAGAUUGCAACGAAUAGCAGGAAAUAGC
rnacentral:sRNA from 1 species